rnacentral:rRNA from 1 species
GUGCCAGCGCCCGGUAAUACCGGCAGCCCGAGUGAUGGCCGAUCUUAUUGGGCCUAAAGCGUCCGUAGCUGGCUGCGCAAGUCCGUUGGGAAAUCGACGCGCCUAACGCGUCGGCGUCCAGCGGAAACUGUCCGGCUUGGGGCCGGAAGAUCCGAGGGGUACGUCCGGGGUAGGAGUGAAAUCCCGUAAUCCUGGACGGACCGCCGGUGGCGAAAGCGCCUCGGAAGGACGGACCCGACGGUGAGGGACGAAAGCUGGGGUCUCGAACCGGAUUAGAUACCCCGGUAGUCC